rnacentral:rRNA from 1 species
UACGAAGGGUGCAAGCGUUACUCGGAAUUACUGGGCGUAAAGCGUGCGUAGGUGGUUUGUUAAGUCUGUUGUGAAAGCCCCGGGCUCAACCUGGGAAUGGCAAUGGAUACUGGCAAGCUAGAGUGCGGUAGAGGGUAGUGGAAUUCCCGGUGUAGCGGUGAAAUGCGUAGAGAUCGGGAGGAACACCAGUGGCGAAGGCGGCUACCUGGACCAGCACUGACACUGAGGCGCGAAAGCUAGGGGAGCAAACAGG